AACUAUGGGGGACUAAAGUGGAAAUUAAUACUACCCUCCAAAACGCUGUGUAGAAUUGGAUUAAACUAAAACAGAUUCAAUAUAUCAUGGAAAAUUUUGAAAACAAAAAAAAAGAUUUUGAAAUGAUGGAAAACAUGAAAGGACUCAAAACAUAAAUAACCCCUCAAUGCUUAAAACCUAUUUCAGAUUCUAAUUAAAACCCUAUUCCCUCUUGCGGCACCUUCUCUGUUUUUCAAGCCAAACUCCCCCCUUUUCAACUUUGAUUCCGACGAAGCAUAACAAGGGCAUCGACGGCGCGCCAACACCGGUAUUGUUGGCGCAUGGAGCGGUGCACGUUGGGGAGGGUCGUGGUGCGAGAUUCGCGGCGGUGUGCGAGGGUGGUACUGGAGACUGCUGGGGCUUGCGGCGUUGGGGUCAAAGCUGCUAGGGUUUUCAGUAGAAAAUUUGUUUACUGGGCUGUUGGGGUUUGGGCCUAGGUUUAGUUUAUUAGGUUGUUUUACUAUUUGUAAGGCCUGGACCAUUUGGGCUGAUUACACUCAUAUACAUUUCUUACUAUAUCUUAUAAUUUAUAUAUAUAUAUGUACAUAUUCUUUAUUUAUUUUAAAUAUAUAUUUUUCAUAUUUCAUA